CCUGAUAGCUCAGUUGGUAAAGAAUCUGCCUGCAAUGCAGAAGACCCAGAUUUGAUUCCUGAAUCAGGA
rnacentral:tRNA from 1 species